rnacentral:rRNA from 1 species
UACGUAGGGUCCGAGCGUUGUCCGGAAUUAUUGGGCGUAAAGGGCUCGUAGGCGGUUUGUCGCGUCGGGAGUGAAAACACGGGGCUUAACCCCGUGCCUGCUUCCGAUACGGGCAGACUAGAGGUAUGCAGGGGAGAACGGAAUUCCUGGUGUAGCGGUGAAAUGCGCAGAUAUCAGGAGGAACACCGAUGGCGAAGGCAGGUCUCUGGGCCAUAACUGACGCUGAGAAGCGAAAGCAUGGGGAGCGAACAGG